rnacentral:lncRNA from 1 species
CCCAAGGCCACCCUGUCCCCAACUGCCAGGUCGGGAGCUGGCGUGCGCUCGGUGCCUUGGGUUCGCCCAGAACACCCACCUGGAGACGCUGACCGCUCAGGUGAGCAAAAUGCCUGCUCAGGAACCGGUCCCUUCUCCCUCCCCGCGUUCAUGGCUGCUUCCCCCUGGGACCUCGCUCCAGAUGCAGACGGGUGUGUCCAGGCAGGUGGCUCCUGAACACCCCUGAGGACUUUCUGCAACAUUCUGGAAGCCCUUGCCAAGUGGCCACGUCUUCCAGAACGCCCUGUGCGCUUCCUGCCUCCACGCUGGGCUCCUGCUAAGUUCUCACGUAGGUUUGAAGCCACGUCCGUACCUCUGCGACAGUCGGGGUCAGCAAAUGUGCUGGGUCACCUGGCCAGGUCCGCUGGUGGCCGCUCGCCCUGUGGACGGAGGCAGAGAAAGUCAUCUGCCACCCAGAGAGCAAAGCAGGGCACGGUGCCCUUUCACUGGGGCUGAUACCUGAGCCAGUGGGGGGUGAGCGCUGAGCGAGGGCGCCGGUGGGGCUCAUCCUGGGACUGGCCCGUGGUGAGCACGGGACACACGUUCGCUUGGCUUCUCAUUGAGGAAAACCACAGGUGAGGGCUGCCUCCCUACCCCACUGCCCAUCUUAGGCUGCGCUCCUUGUCAGAGCCUUUGCAUUUACUCCUUAGAACCUUCUGGGAGGGCUGGAAGGAGCACAUUCUUAUUUUGCAGAUAGAGAAGAAAUUCAGGAAGGGGCGUCAGGUGGCCGGCAGUCCCGGAGGCCCCCGAGCCUUCUCCCUGACCAGGAACCUGCGGGGGGACGGCACGCUUUCCGGGGUGAGUACGCGCUGGGCCCCCCAGGACGCGCUCUCAGAGACCUCGGCUCCUGCCGCCGGGCCCUCUGAGCU